rnacentral:rRNA from 1 species
AACGUAGGUGGCAAGCGUUAUCCGGAUUUACUGGGCGUAAAGCGUGUGCAGGCGGGUGGACAAGUGGUGUAUGAAAUCGCCAGGCUAAACCUGGCGGGUUAUGCCAGACUGUCCGUCUGGAGUGCGAGAGAGGGGCGUGGAAUUCCGGUGUAGUGGUGAAAUGCGUAGAGAUCCGGAGGAACCCCAGAGGCGAAGGCGGCGCCCUGGCUCGCAACUGACGCUCAGACACGACAGCAUGGGGAGCGAACGGG